UUUUUUAAUUAAUUUAGAUAGUUUAACUAAUUUUUAAUUAGAUUUAUGAAUAAUUUUUAUAUUUUGAAUUUUUUUGUCAAUUUUUGAAGUUUUAUAUAUAUAUUUUUGGACGAUUUCAAACAUUGGUUACAUUCCGAUCUGAACCGAAUUUGGAAAGAACCGAGUCGAACCCAACCUGAUAAUUAGUAAACACAUGAAUGAGACUUAUGAACAUAACACCGAAAAUUCAAAAAUUUGAAUCAGUCGAACACCAAACCGACUAGUCCCGAAGGCCGAGGCCUACUCCACGGUAUGGUAUCCUACUAACCAUGUAUGGGUUCUAUAAAAAGUGUAAAGUGAUAAAUCCAAUGUUUAAAAAAAAAAUAUUUAGUCAUUAAUACCAGUUUUUAAAGAGAAUUUUAUACGUCUAUGAGUAGUUAGUUAGUUAAUUAAUGACACUCAUCAAGAAAAGAAAUAAUUAUUGGGUCCCCCUCUCAACUCCCUCAACAUUUCAAAAUCAACUUACAACCACAAACAUAUAUUUCCAUCUAAUCCUCUGUUUUCGAUUUUCCCUCACUCUUUCUCUUCUUCCAUAACAAUUAAAAAAAAAACCAGUCCUGCGUGUGUGUACAUUCGAUCAAUGCCAGGAACUAUACAAGUUUCAGUUCUGGGUCUUGUUGAUGUUCAGACAGCUUCUUCAACCACUUCCAUUAAAGGUAUCAACUUGACUCUGUUACCUAUAUUGCUUUACCAAAAAAAACUCAACUUCUUUUACUUGGCAGUUGCUAUGGGGAAGAUAGAGUAUCGAACUUCGGAUUCAGGAGACUACAUUUUUCCAGUCACGAGGCUCCAGGAAAACUUGAUUGUUACAUUGUUAGAUGUAAAUGGUAACGGAAUAUUACACAAAGAGAUAGAGACCAGGAUGAUCAUAGAGAGUGGCUUCUUGGAAGAGAAAGUUUUAUUCAAUGGCUAUGGAAAUGUCCAACUGAAAAUGCAGUUUGUUCUUAGUGAAGAAGAUCGAAACCGCAUACGUUUCCUGAGACAAUCUGCAUUGAGAAAGAAGCACAAGGAGCUUGUAGGUGGCAGUUCUUUUACCAAAUCUAAAAGCAUUGCUUCAGAUGUUAUGAGAGAUCUGUCUUCUCUAAGUCCGAUGCAAACCCGAGACACCGUGGCUGCUGCUAGUCCAAAGACAGCUCUUGCUCUGUCUCAAGAGACAGAGGUUAAAACUAGUGUAGAUAGAGAGCCGGUUUCGUCAAAUCUUAUAACAUGGAAGGCUGAAGUAAAGGGUAUAACUGAGAAGAAGAAGACAAAUCAACCAUCUUCUUCAGAUGUUUCUUUAAGCAAGAAGCUCCCGGAAGUUAAGAAACUAGAGAGUGUAUCAUUACUGGAGCAAGAAGAUAAAGGCUUGAUCAAACCGGAAAAGAUCCCUAAUAGGAAGCCAAUGCGGCGGAGUUUGUCAGAGACAAACUUGAGCAAUGUUCGGAAAAUGAUUAGCACCUUUGAAGUUAAAGUGACUCAGGAUACAAAUCUUCUGAUGGGGAAGAGUCAAACUGAAGAUGUGAAGGAAAAUGCUAAGGCGCAGUCACAACCAAAAAGCUCUGUUAAUAUAGAGAAACCAAAAGAAAGGAAGAUAAGUUCUGAUACCACAGAGAUAUGUGAUCAUAUAGUAACAGUUUCAAGAGAGGAAAGGCCACUGGUUAUAGAGCAUAAGAGCCCUGAAGAGAGCACUAUAAGAAGUGACUCGUUAAGUAAGCAGAGAAUAAAGAGAAGCUCGGUGGUGGAAGUAAGCAAUGAUGAGAAGAAACAGAGCAAACCUGUGCGUUUGAAGGAUUCUCAUCUUGAGAAUGCACGAGGGUCACGUCUCUGGAUAUUUCCUGAUGAGGCAAAGGAUGUGUUACAGAAGAAGACAGAAGAAUCCAAGAAGGCAAACACCGAUGGGAUUGAGCUGCAGAAGCAUUGAGAAAAUGAAUAUCAACAACAAGUGGAAGAACAUUGAGAGAUUGAAGAAACAGAAAUCUCAGACAUCUGCAGAUUCAGAAAGUUCAAGAGGACCUGUUGGACAGGUGAUGCGUGCAUUGAUUGUGGUGGGUUUUGCAGGCUUAGUGUUUUUGACACGGAAAUGAACUUAAACAGGUUUGUGUUCUGCUGAAAAAUGAAGCCUUCUGUAUUUUUUUCCCCUGUUUUCUUCUGAUGGAAGGAAACUCAAAAUAGGUUCCUUGUGAUACAAGCUUCAGCCUCAAAUUUAUUUGUCUCCUUGAUACAUUUUGCAGAUGAGCCAAACCUGCAUUUUGUGAUUGUAAUAUUGGAACAGUUCUUUUAAAACAAGACUGUAAAAGAUAUAUUGUUGCACAUAAUAAUAGUUUUCAAUGAUAUGCUUA